rnacentral:rRNA from 1 species
GAGUUUGAUCCUGGCUCAGAUUGAACGCUGGCGGCAUGCCUUACACAUGCAAGUCGAACGGUAACAGGUCUUCGGACGCUGACGAGUGGCGAACGGGUGAGUAAUACAUCGGAACGUGCCCAGUCGUGGGGGAUAACUACUCGAAAGAGUAGCUAAUACCGCAUACGAUCUGAGGAUGAAAGCGGGGGACCUUCGGGCCUCGCGCGAUUGGAGCGGCCGAUGGCAGAUUAGGUAGUUGGUGGGAUAAAAGCUUACCAAGCCGACGAUCUGUAGCUGGUCUGAGAGGACGACCAGCCACACUGGGACUGAGACACGGCCCAGACUCCUACGGGAGGCAGCAGUGGGGAAUUUUGGACAAUGGGCGAAAGCCUGAUCCAGCAAUGCCGCGUGCAGGAUGAAGGCCUUCGGGUUGUAAACUGCUUUUGUACGGAACGAAAAAGCUUCUCCUAAUACGAGAGGCCCAUGACGGUACCGAAGAAUAA